rnacentral:misc_RNA from 1 species
AUCACCAGCAGCUCCUCUUCACACCACUGAAGGUAGCUAUCGUCGAAUCCAUAGGCAGAGGCGCGGACGACAGUGUGAGCAGAGCCGCGGAUCCCAAGGGGAGGGAAUCGGCAGUAGGAGACGGCAGCCUUGGCGGCGGCAGCCGAGUCAACCAUGGGGAACAUGACGCCCUGGGGGCCGAGGUCGAGCGCUUUCUUCGCCCAGGCGGCGGAGAGAUCCGGGAGGCGGAGGAUGGCGGGAGUGCGGGUGACGGCGAGAGCGCGGAGGCAGGGGAGGGUGUCGGAGAUGCCGCCGGGGCCGUGCUCCAUGUCG